GGAUGUGAGGAUGAUUUAACAGCAACAUCUGUCGUCUCACUGAUCUCCAGGGUUGAUUUGGCUGAUCUGGCUGGCUAGGUAGGUGUCCCCUUCCUCCCUCACUGCUUCAUAUGCAUCCCUUUAGAAGCUGAGCACUUGGUCAAAGAGGACUGCCUUUCCCGAAUAGAGGAAGACUGGUCUCCAGUCAAGGGUAUAGGAGUAGCUGCACUCCCGUUAGAACCUCCAUACAAGCUCUUAAGAAACUUACCUUCAGAGGUUGGAGAGAUGGCUUAGAAGUUAAGGGGCUUGCCUGCAAAGCCUAAAGACCCAGGUUUGAUUC
rnacentral:snRNA from 1 species